rnacentral:tRNA from 1 species
CGCGGGGUAGAGGAGUCUGGUUAUCUCGGUCGGUUCAUACCCGACGCUGGCGCAAGCCUACGGCGGUUCAAAUCCGCUUCCCGCAACCA